rnacentral:rRNA from 1 species
AUGCGCUUUAGGAGGGNCNUGCGGCCUAUCAGCUAGUUGGUGGGGUAACAGCCUACCAAGGCGACGACGGGUAGCUGAUCUGAGAGGAUGGUCAGCCACAGGGGAACUGAGACACGGUCCCCACUCCUACGGGAGGCAGCAGUGAGGAAUAUUGGGCAAUGGGCGCAAGCCUGACCCAGCAAUGCCGCGUGCGGGAUGACGGCCUUCGGGUUGUAAACCGCUUUUGUGGGGGAGUAGCAAGGAGAGUACCCCACGAAUAAGUCACGGCUAACUACGUGCCAGCAGCCGCGGUAAUACGUAGGUGACAAAUGUUAUCCGGAAUUACUGGGCGUAAAGGGUCUGUAGGCGGACGUUUAGGUCUGGUGUGACAUCUCGCGGCUCAACUGCGAGCGAGCGCCGGAAACCGGACGACUAGAAUCACGUCGAGGUCGGUGGAAUUCCCGGUGUAGUGGUGGAGUGCGUAGAGAUCGGGAGGAACCUCGAAAGCGAAGGCAGCCGGCUAGACGAUGAUUGACGCUGAGGGACGAUAGCGUGGGUAGCAAACAGGAUUAGAUACCCUGGUAGUCCACGCCGUAAACGAUGUAUGCUCGGUGUGUGCGGGUAAAACCGUGCGCGCCUCAGCCAACGCGAUAAGCAUACCGCCUGGGGAGUACGGCCGCAAGGCUAAAACUCAAAGGAAUUGACGGGGACCCGCACAAGCAGCGGAGCGUGUGGUUUAAUUCGAUGCGACGCGA